rnacentral:rRNA from 1 species
CACGAACGACUCUCGGCAACGGAUAUCUCGGCUCUCGCAUCGAUGAAGAACGUAGCGAAAUGCGAUACUUGGUGUGAAUUGCAGAAUCCCGUGAACCAUCGAGUCUUUGAACGCAAGUUGCGCCCCAANNNNNNNNUCUGAGGGCACGUCUGCCUGGGUGUCACGCAU